rnacentral:rRNA from 1 species
GGUUAAGCGACCAAGCGUACACGGUGGAUGCCCUGGCAGUCAGAGGCGAUGAAGGACGUGCUAAUCUGCGAUAAGCGCCGGUAAGGUGAUAUGAACCGUUAUAACCGGCGAUGUCCGAAUGGGGAAACCCGGUGCACUACGGUGCAUCAUCGUUUGAUGAAUACAUAGUCAAACGAGGCGAACCGGGGGAACUGAAACAUCUAAGUACCCCGAGGAAAAGAAAUCAACCGAGAUUCCCCCAGUAGCGGCGAGCGAACGGGGAGGAGCCCAGAGCCUGAAUCAGCAUGUGUGUUAGUGGAAGCGUCUGGAAAGGCGCGCGAUACAGGGUGACAGCCCCGUACACAAAAGCGCAUGUGCAGUGAGCUCGAAGAGUAGGGCGGGACACGUGGUAUCCUGUCUGAAUAUGGGGGGACCAUCCUCCAAGGCUAAAUACUCCUGACUGACCGAUAGUGAACCAGUACCGUGAGGGAAAGGCGAAAAGAACCCCGGCGAGGGGAGUGAAACAGAACCUGAAACCGUGUACGUACAAGCAGUGGGAGCACAGAGCAAUCUGUGUGACUGCGUACCUUUUGUAUAAUGGGUCAGCGACUUAUAUUCUGUAGCAAGGUUAACCGAAUAGGGGAGCCGGAGGGAAACCGAGUCUUAACCGGGCGUUAAGUUGCAGGGUAUAGACCCGAAACCCGGUGAUCUAGCCAUGGGCAGGUUGAAGGUUGGGUAACACUAACUGGAGGACCGAACCGACUAAUGUUGAAAAAUUAGCGGAUGACCUGUGGCUGGGGGUGAAAGGCCAAUCAAACCGGGAGAUAGCUGGUUCUCCCCGAAAGCUAUUUAGGUAGCGCCUCGUGAAUUCAUCUCCGGGGGUAGAGCACUGUUUCGGCUAGGGGGCCAUCCCGGCUUACCAACCCGAUGCAAACUGCGAAUACCGGAGAAUGUUAUCACGGGAGACACACGGCGGGUGCUAACGUCCGUCGUGAAGAGGGAAACAACCCAGACCGCCAG